CCUACGGGUGGCAGCAGGGAGGAAUAUUGGUCAAUGGACGAGAGUCGGAACCAGCCAAGUAGCGGGAAGGAUGACUGCCCUAUGGGUUGUAAACUUCUUUUAUAGGGGAAUAAAACGUCCCACGUGUGGCCUUUUGUAUGUACCUUAUGAAUAAGGAUCAGCUAACUCCGUGCCAGCAGCCGCGGUAAUACGGAGGAUCCGAGCGUUAUCCGGAUUUAUUGGGUUUAAAGGGAGCGUAGGUGGGUUGUUAAGUCAGUUGUGAAAGUUUGCGGCUCAACCGUAAAAUUGCAGUUGAUACUGGCAGUCUUGAGUACAGUAGAGGUGGGCGGAAUUCGUGGUGUAGCGGUGAAAUGCUUAGAUAUCACGAAGAACUCCGAUUGCGAAGGCAGUUCACUGGACUGCAACUGACACUGAGGCUCGAAAGUGUGGGUAUCAAACAGGAUUAGAUACCCUUGUAGUC
rnacentral:rRNA from 1 species